UCUGCUGGGAUCGGGGGCGAUGUCUCUGCGUAUGUGGGUGCUCUGUCUUUCUCACCUUCUUUCUCGCUUUUUUGCUAUUUUUUCUCUGAGAGAGGUUUUUUGUGUGUUGUUUUUUUUUUUUUUUUUCCACUUUAAUUUUCUUUUCUUUUAGUGUCAGCUGCUCAAGCCUGACCGGGGUAGAGGCUAGAGGAGCAAGCUGUCCCCGGCGUCCCACCUGACCUACCAGCCUUUGCCCCCGUUUCCUUCUUUUGAACAGACAGACAGACUGGUUUUCCAGGUUGUUUGGGUAUCCGCGUCUGUCUGUCCAUCCACGUCGUUCUUAGGUGGCAGGUAGGAAGUGAGGAGGAGAGGUGCUGGGAGGAAGGUGGAAAGGCAUAGCUUUCCAGGGGUUGCCUUAUUGAAAUGUUCAGCCUCGGGGCAGCUGGGCUGGUGGGGAGCCGGUGGGCAGGAUGGGGCGUGGGUUGGGAGAAGUGGGGUAAAGCUGGUAGGGUUGUCACUGCGUAGUUGGGAAAAGUGGGGAAUGGUGACGCAGUCACUGUUGCAUCUUGUUAGGAGCUCCAAGGGGGACAGGUAGUGAGGCUCCCGGCAUCUGUAGGGCCAGCUGAGAGGGGUUAGGGAUGAGCUGAGAAGGGAAGCUAGCAUUUAGAGAUUAAAUGUCAUCCUUUUGGCGUUGGAAAGUUGUUUACCUUGCGCUCUCUGUGUCUCCAUGUUGGCACCCUUCCAGUUCACAUGUGAUGGCCUUCCUUGUACUGCUGCAUCAUUAACUAAGUGACUGAGCUGGCCUUCCAUUGGCCAGGGGAGGGCUCUCACUCCAGACAUUUCCUCUGAUUGGUGGGUGGGCCAAUGGCAGGUGAAAACCUUUUUUUGAUUGGCUGAGGGCAGGGUAUCAAAUCUGAAUUUGCAUUUCACUUGCUUAAAGGGGAGGGGGGGAGAAGCCCAGCAGCUUUCUAAAAUCUGUUUAGGGGUGUGCGUAUGCUCCUGUGUCUGUGCCUGCUUUUGACUGACCAGGUGAAGCCUCUUCCUAUGCCUUUUUUAUUUCAAGCACUCAGAGGAAGAGGAGCUCCGGGUUCCCCAAACUUUUUGUGUGUGUGUGUGUGUGUGUGUGUGUGUGUGUGUGUGUGGAGUAGGAAGGGUUGGAGAGAUGGGUGCGCAGAGGGUUGACCAAACUGGAAGGAAGUAUUUGUCCUUUAGUUUGGUGUCGGAAAAGGGAAUUUUCCAAUCAGCCACACCUCGGUGUUGCGGCACAAUAAUUCUUGGCUCCCCUGGAAACGCACGGGGCAAGGUAGGACAGAUCUGCUGCUGCUGACACUGCCACCACCAUGGGCUUCCUGCUGCCUCUGGGCUGCUCCCUGGGGACGAGAGAUUUGCAUUGACGGGGCUGUCCAGAGCUGAGCCCAGUGUGGGAAAGACCUGCCUUCUGGAAGCUGCUGCUCCUUGGUCUUGGAAAGGUGCCACGUCAGGCUGUUCCACGGACCUUCUUUCAUUCACUGCUUUCCACAACCCUCCGAGGAGAGUCCCGUGGCUGAGAACUCAGAGGAGUUGAGCUCCAUGAGUCGGUGACAGCCUCCUGGAGACUCAGGCUAAGCUGGGGACAGAGCUGGUGUGCAGAAGACAGCCAUCAUACCGCCUAAUAGAAUGGCCCGUUUGCAUUUAUUUGGAACAAAAAAAGGAGAUGCCUGGCAGCCUGGCUUUCUGCAGCUAAGUAUUCGUCUGCAUUCUGGUUUUCCGUCACACAUCGGAAGCGAUAGAUGUUCAUUGAACCCACCCAGCUGUCGUGACUUCUCCUGUCCCCGCGCACCCCUGCCCCUGAUCCUCCAGCAGAGAUUGGAUUUUCUGGUGCGGCUGGAGAGCUGCAGAGAGGUUAGAUCCCAGUGUCCAGCCCCCGCACAUCGCCCUCACAUUCAGGAGAAGUCGAUUUUCCCUAAAGCGGAGCCUAAAGCCCAUGUUCCUCAGUGCGGUGUUAUUAAUGGGCCGACGGAAAGGGCCCUGCUUGCCCUCACUGCCCCCAGCGGGGAGGUGAGGCUCUCGGCUGGCUGGCUGGGGGAGGACGGUCCUUGCCAGCAUCUAGCAUGGUUCUCUGCCAAGUUCUAGCUCCAAAUCUCUAGGCCGCUAGGAACCUAGACUAUAUAUAGCAUUGUGCUAAGCAAUUCUUAUCGGACAUGUCUGCCCUCCCCUGCGGGAGAGGAGCCCUUCUCCCAGGGAACCGGAACCUAGAGAGUGUGAGCCUUCUCCAAGGGGUCUUUCGUUCCAGGAAGGGCUGUGUGUGUGUGUGUGUGUGCGCGCGCGCGCGUGGCUGUGUCUGCUUCAGGGCUGCCAAGCUUUCUUUCCUUUUCCCUGUUUCAGAUGCUGCGAGAUCGGAAGGUCUGAUUGGGAUGAGGGCCAGGAGGUUCUUGAUGGUGUGCGAUGUGGCCUAUGGCGCCCACCAGCCUCCCGCAUGUCUUCUUGGUUUCCUGUUUGCCUUCUUUGCCCAAGGAGGUCUUCUGACCUCUUGAGCUUCUUUUGGAUCUCCUGUCUUCCCUGCCCUCCUCUACCUCUUCCUCCUCCUUCCUUUGAUUCUCUUUCGGGUAUGUGACGGCAGACUGGGCUACGGGCAUCCGGGAGCUGUGUCUGCUCGCCGCCCUCACCACCGCCCCCUCCCCCCGCCCCCCACCAGUUUGGGGUUUCUGGAAAUCUGGCUUUAGUCAGCCGUCCUCUGGAGGAAUUGGGUGGUGACUGAGCGUUUCGUGCUGGGUGGUACAGGGCAGAGCAGGCUGGAUAUUUGCCUCCUCCCUCCCGUAGGUGCUGUUGAGCCACCGAUUUUCUGUGGUUCCGCGACCCCGAGUGCUGACUGAUGUGACAGGUUCCGGUCUUGUCAGUGAAUCAUCGCCAAGCUGCUUAUUGGAACCCAGAUGCAGCAAGAAAAUGGGAUUUAACCCCUUCCCGGCCUCUCAGGUAAGUCAGGUGUGGGCUGACGCUUCCGGCCCCCCCCCCCCCCACCUCCCAGCCCCCUUCCCUUCUCAUGGAGACCAUUUUCCUUAGUCAGUGGGGAAUCCUCAAACGUCUCCAUUCACAAUCUCCCAAACAAUGCUCUCUUCUUUCCAUUCUCCUACUCCUGGCUUUUCUGUGAAUGGGGUUAGUAACCAGCAAGGACUUGGGGGAAGGGCCAGCCACAGUGAUCCGGCUGCCGGGAUGUGGGAGAUGGCAGGGACGCGUUUCUGGGUGUGGCAGUCAGCAGAGCAGUUGGGCCUCCCACAGUGACUGGCCGGGAACUCUCCAUGGCCCCCAACAUCCAGCAGGAGAUUCUGGGUUUGAGCCCGGAUGGGGGCAGGGAGUCUGCCUGGGACUUGGGUGUGCCCUUACUUGUGUAUCCCAGUGGAUGUUCACUCUGACUCUGGACACCUUGGGGCUUGCGUCUGCAGCCGUAGCCUGGAGUUUAGAGUAUGGGCUGGGCAGUAGACUUCAGGGCUCUUUCUCCACUUGCGUGUGUUAUGGGGCUUGUUUUGGGGGUUUUUUUGUUUGUUUUUUGUUUUGAGUAAAUCACUCUCUUCCUCUAGGCCCUCAUCGCCUUCACCUUAAAAAAAAAAAAAAAAAAAAAAAAAAAAAAUUUCCUGGCCUGGUAAACCAUUGCAAAGCAUCUCCAGGCUGUUGAUGUACAAAUGUUUCUUCUCUGCCUCACUUGAUGCUGGUCACAGUAAUAGCAACGGUGAUUAAAAAUGAUGUCGGGACUGACUGCAGAACUGGGGAGGCCUGUCGCAUUCUAGAGACAGUUCAGAAAGCAGACCGUAGUCGCUUGCCACGCUGCCUACCAGGAAAUCUCCUAUUGAAUGCAUUCCUGCAAUGUUCUGGGCGAGCAGGGUCAGGUUGGAAUUAGCUGACAGCAGAUUUGUCUGGGGUCUCAAGAUAAAAGGGAUGGUCCCCGGUAAUUUUACCGCACCCUUGGCUGAUAUCCGGAGGCACCUGUGAGAUCCCACCUCUGCUCUCCCCACCCCCUUCCCACCGCUGGCCAGGAAGGACCGGUGAAUUCUGCCCGUCAGUGUUUUAUCUUCUCUCCUCCCCAUCUGACCGGAGGCUGAGCUGGCUGUGAGCAGCCUGAGGUCCUCCCCGAGUGAGGAAUCCGAGGCUGUUGGGAAGAGACACCCGACUCUUCUCUUCCCUGAAGGAAUUUGACAAGUCUCAGCCCCUCCAGCAGUAACGUGGGGAGGGAUGGCUGGGGGUGUUGGACCUGGAACACGAAUAAAGAGGAGAGAUCAGCUUUGGUGCAGCUGGGGAGACGAGGAGGAGCCGGCCAAGUCCCUCAAGAUGUGUCGGCUAGAGUCUGGCCAGUGCAGGCUGCCGGGCCGGAGCCAGAUGGAGCCGCUGGCCACGCUCGGGAGCCUCUGCCCCCAUAUGGUGUGGUGUGGUCCCGGGCCUGGCUCGGGGUGGCCGCUGCUCCCAUUCACAGCCCUGCCCUGCCCUUGGCUGGACUGGGAAGAUGAGAGUGGGAAGCGGAGGGAGAGUUGAUUUUGCUCCUUGUGACGCAGUUGUCUGCGGGGCCUCUGGCGUUUCCAGACUUGGGGUGGGUGCUUCCCCGUUGAUUUUCCUCAUUUCGUUCGUCAUCUGCUUCCUUGCUCCCUGCUUACCGGGCUGGCUUCUGCUGCCAUGACACGGGCAUUACGUGUCCCCAGCCAAGCUAGCACCACGGUUGGUGUCCCCUGAGAGGGGGACCGGGCAUAUCUGGCACUCGAUUCUCAACCUUUGAACCCCUGCGCUCUGGGAGCCAGGAGGCAGAGUGGGGCCUCUCCAUCCGGGGUCCGGCAGAGGUUAACAGGGCUGGUGGUGCCGGAGCUGCGGUGGUGUGGCCUGGCCAGGAGGCGCUGGGGAGGGGCCCCGCCGGGGGACCUGAUUGGUCAGCACCUUCUCUGUUCCACUGAAUCCUGAGCCGGUCGGGGCCGUGAAUUGUUUAAUGCAUAUCUUGGCUCUGUCCCCUGGCACGAGGGCCUCUGAGGCUGCAGCCACAGCUUUAGCGAGGAUGUGUACCUCGUGCUGGUCACUGUUUUGGGCACGUUGCCUCCCUGUGAGAUAUGAAAGAGAUACUGCCCUUUCCGCUAGCAGGCUGUCUGUGGGAGGCCCUCCUUUUGCGUUGCUUUUCUGGGCCUUGGAGUGUCUGUGAAGAAGGCCUAGGCUGGGUUUGAUUCCUUGCCGGCUCCUUUCACAGGAGGCUUCUCGUGAGCUGGUGAAGCCAGAGAAAACCUCCAGGCCCCAAGGCCCGUGCACAGCCUGAUGCGAUAGUGUCGGGCCUGGGCAGGAAGGAGCAGGGGCACGAGGAUGGAGCGAGGCAUGCGGGGACGUGGUCGCGCAUCGUCUGACCACAGGAUCAGGGCAGCGGGGGUGGGGUGGGAGGAUGCGUCCGGCGUUCAACCCGCGGUGCCCGCUGCAGCCUGGAAUGGGCCUGUGUGUGCGUGGAGCCCAGGUCAGGGUCUGUAAUGAGGCGUGAGGCUAUGAGAUGGGCAUCGGGACUCUUGGUCCCGGCAGAGGGUCCCAGGAAAGGGAAACUGACUUUCGUUAAGCGUCUGUCUUUGCUGGUCUGAUUUCAUCCUCAGAGCAACCGCAUGAAGUAGGUAUUACUUCCCUUCAACAGAUAAGGAAGCCGUGAGUAGCAAUUCACUGAACCAAGGUCACGUACUUGGCAAGUGGGAUUGUUGAGAUUUAAACCCCGGCACUUUGGAUUCCAAAGCCUGUGCUUUCUCUUCGCCCUCUUGGGUGGAAGUCAGACAUCUUUGGGAGCUAAGACCAUCAGAGAUUAGGCAGCCGGGAGAUCUGACGGAAACCGGUGUGAAAGGCCAGGUGCCUAGGGGGACGGGGCAGCCACUGGCCAUAGCCAUGCCAUAUCCCUUUCGGGGGGAGGGGGGCAAGGCAGAGACAGCUAGUUCCUGGUGUCCCUGAACAGGCAGGGCUGAGCAUGGCAGAUACACCCACUCCACAAGUGUGCGCCCAGUCUCUGCUUCGUGGCGGGGCGUGUGCUAGGAGCUGGGGGCGCAGAACUCUACAAAACCAAGUUUCUGCUCUCAUGGGAUGUACUUUCUGGUGUAGGGAGAGGUCAUUCACGAUAAUAAAAAAGGAACUAGGAACUAUAUAAAGUAUGCAGAUACAAAAAGGGGGACACCCACCCAUAAGAAGCAGCGAUCCCAAUGUUGGUCAGGGAGGGAAUUUGAGAGACUGAAGGAUCUCGACCACCUGGGGAAGCCAUAUUGAUGGAGCCCCCAGAGUUCAAGUUGAUAGAGUUGCUAAUGUCUCUCUUUUCCUAAGAGCUGGAAAAACCACCCAAGGUCCCCAAAGCUUACAAGAACUUGCAGUGAGUCAGGGAUCAAGGUGGCAGUAGACGUCAAGCUGUUGGUCACCAGCAAACGAAGAUUUUUCCGUUAGCCAUGGCUGCUCUUGGCCUAACAUCUCCCCCCCUCACCGGGUGGCAGCUGGCGUCUCUCUGCCUCAUCACGGUGCCCCUCUCUCGUCCACACCGACGGGAGCACUCGGGUUAAGUCUUCGCCAAGUCACCAGUAAAAUAUGUGCCUGCAGGAGACAGAACUCAGCUCAGGCUCUCCUGGCAGAACCCGUGGUUCCAAGAUUAUCGCGAUAGGGACGGGUCAGGGGGCGGGAGAGGGAGGAGAAGUCACCUUGUGCCAGAUGCUUGGACAAGUUUUGUGUCCAAAAGAGGUUGAGGCAAGUUGGUGGCUGGAGAUGGGGGAGGGGAUGUUUCCAGCGUGUGUGGCUCCAGGGCUCAGGAGUUGUUUACAGGGUAGAAGCUUAUGGUGAGUCAGGCCAUGUGAUUCUUCCCUCCCUGGCCCCGUGGUCGAAGCCUGCCCCACUUGAACCUCGGAGACUGCCACCUGCUGCCAGGGGGCAGAUGUUGCACGAAGGUGCGGUGUGGGUCUUGGGGUGUGGUUGUGGGAACUCCGGGAAAGGGGGCGUUCUGUGGCGUGGUAUAGAAGACUCCGCAGUCCCGUGUUCUGGCCCAGGAUCCCGUGGUAAAAUCUUACUCACUUUACCCUUUUGGGACUCAGUUUCAUUAUUUAUAAGAUGAGGGGGUUGAACCAGAAUCUUUUGGGAGGUGCCUGCCGACUCUGACAUGGGGGCUACUUGGGUGUUCGCGGAGGUGUUUCUUAGGCAGAAACUCAGGUCGGAACUAGCAGGCCUGACUUACGGGAGAGGGGAGGAGCCUUGAAGGAUCUGAGAACAGCUACAGUCCUGUUUUCUGCAGGGAUGCUGUCACCAUCAAUUAGGGCAGGUGGGUGGAGACAGUUUUCCAGGAACUCUUCAGGAGCGAGCGGGAAGGGGCCGGAGAUUGCGUGAAGGUGUCUCAGGAAGGUCACCUAAGUGACAGGGGUUGUGACCUCUGGCUCCCACCAAGGGGCCUGUCUGGAGCUGGGCAGUGUGGGAGCCGCUGGGGUCUUUGCUGUGCCAAAGGGGCUGACCUGAGAUGCCACCGUGCUCUAGGGAAGACGCUCUGUCCUUUGUGGCCCUGAAUCCUUGAGGGAACAUGGGACUACAGGUCCCGUGUCCUGGGCCUUCCCUGAGAUGUCUGUUCAGGGUCUGUGCCCCUUGCUGUCAGGAAGUCUUCCUUUAUAUUUAGCCAUUUUUUUUUCUCAUGUGGUUGUUUAAGCCCUUCUAUUUAAAAAAAAAAAAAAAAAAAAAAAAGACAAGAGGAAAAAAAAACAGAAAACAAAAACAAAAAUAUCUCCGAGCCGCUUGGUUCCAUUUUAGCUUUUCAGUCUUGAGUCACUGUUUUAAAGGUAGCAAAAGUAAAACACAUGCAGGGAAGCUCAAGGCCCCAGACCCUCGUGGGCUGUUGUGAAAGGCCAGCCCGGGGAUAUGGCGGCCUCUGUCCCCAACGUCCCCCGCUUCUCCAAGUCUGCGUGGGUAGGAGCCCCUGGGGCUUGCGGGCACAUGCUGCGCGGGCCGCCGAAUGGAAUGCAGGGUUUUCAAAUUAGCAAUAUGCCUUCAAGACACGAUCCGUGUGCUGCUUUACUGGACACUUACGCUGGGACUCGUAGCUGUGAGCCCGCCCCCUUCCCCACCAGGGUGGGGUGGCAAACAGGGAUUUGGGCCAGGAUUCAGGCAGGAGCCGAACUGAUCCGUGACCGACGUCUUAUGCGCACCGUGUGUUGUUUUCGCAGCUCUUUUCAGAUUCGCUGGCUCGCUUGGUCCUCACACAGCCCUGUGAGGGUCGGCGGUGGAUCCCCGUGGGUGUUCACGCUCAGCCUCAGACAGCCCUGCUGAGGUCCGGUUUCUUGUACCUGCUUAAUUUGGGUCACCGCACCCCCCCCCCCCCCCGCCCCCAGGCCCUCCGACUCCAGAUGUCAUUUCCUUGGGUUUCAGUUGUGCUCUUUAGCUGAGCAGGGGGGCAGGGCAGGGAUGGGGAGUGCAUCUUGGGUAGCUGACUUGAACUCUGUAGGUUGCAGGUUUCUUUUCUACGCAUUCAGUGGGGAAGGGAGCCUCCGCCCAGGUUCUCCUGUUCUUGGAUUGUUUCAACUUCUCUUACGAGUUCUUAUGAAACCUGGCUUGCCCUCCUUGACCAGGAAGCCAGCCAUUCACCAUGUGACUCUGGUGAGACUCCCUACGCUUGGAAGCUUCUGGAAUACACGGUGCUUUAGACCGUUCCGACACAUCUGUCAGGCACUUCAGGCAUGUGCACGUAGCCCUGUUUCUGCCAAGUGGCUCACUUAGAAAUGAAGCCCCAUUGUGGGGCAUUUUUUUUUCCAACAGAUUUAUAAGGUAUGCCCAGAGCUUUCUGCCCAGCGUGUGCAUUGUGUAUACGUUGUCUGUUUGCUGGCUAAUGAACGUACAGCGCCCGCUGGAAGGAUUGGCCAAUGUAUAGUGUAGGCUGGUGGAACCAGUGGCUUCAGCUCUGAACGUUGCUUUCUGAUAGAGUUGAAAAAGUAGGCCUUACCCACAGAGGGGAAGGUAGAUCAGAGAACGCCUGGGCAUCAGUGUUCCCUGGAUCCUGGGUGUAAGCUCACUCUUUAUGAGGAGGGUCGAGGCACAGCCUGGACUGUGUCUUCUGGGCCGCGUGGCCCUCUGAGUGGCCUUUAUUCAGAGAGACCCAGAGCGAGCCUGUAUGAAGGGAGAGAGAAGUGCUUGUCUUUGUUUAUGGCACCCUUAACUCGUGAUGGUUUGGGCUCACCUCGGGCACGUUUCUUGAAGGAUCGGGGUCGGACAGCGUGGCAGCACGCAUAUGUCUGUCCGUUUGUAUUCCCCGGAUGCAGGCUUGGCUCGUAGAGAAGCCCUGUCAUGGGGAAUCCAUAGAAGAAUUGUUUUGCUGGAGCGAAGGCUUUUGGUAACUUUUGUGUGAAGAUGCGUCACGCCACACCCAGAUCUUUCUGUUCUCCUGGAGGAUGGGGAGGAGGAUGGCAGGACCUGUAGCUGGGAGGCGAUCUAGGCCAGCCUUCAGGGAGGGCUGUGGCGGCCUCUUCGCUGAGGGCUCCCAAAGAGACACAGAGCUUCUUUAUCUCAGAAGAGGGACUGGAUGUCCCUGUCGAGGUCCCUCGGGUCCUGAGCGUGUGGGACUGUGAGGCUCUCCCUGGAACAGCGUGAGCUUCGGGUACCGGGACCCAGAGCAGGUUGCACAUCUUUUCUUUCUGCCGUGGAGGCAAGCCUAACCUCGGUGGGCCCCACGAACAUCGGGCCUGGAGCUCUAACCUUGUUCCCUCGUGCAGAGAGAAUUCCCAGAACUGACCCGAACGGCAUUGAUAUUAUUUGCAAAUAAAAAAAGGAGAAAGCCAUGUUGUCCCUCAUCGCCGCCAGGAAAGAGCCCUGAGCGGCUCUAAUCCUGUCUUUGUACCACUGCCACUCCCCACCCUUGCUGACCCCCCCAGCCUAGGGCCCUUUGAUAGGCACUAGAGAUGUGAAUGAGUUUGGUGGGAAGGCCAAGGGCAGGGACAGACAUGGUUUGCUGGGAAGAAGGUAGGACAAGGAAAAGGAGUAUCUCAGGGAAGGCCCACGGGCACACAUGUGUAUUCAGAUGGACAUACUAUUUACUGGUAACGCCAGAGUCUGACAUAAACCAGUUAAUGCCUAAAUGAGGGUUGAUUUCGUGUGGAGAAUCAUACAUCAUUUUGUGUUUAAGUCUGCAGCUUUAGCAUCAAAAGGCCUGACAGGCUGGGGACUUUUUGCUGGGCCCUCCUGUCUGUAAGAUCAUGCUCAUUUUAUAUUGAUUUUCUGUCUCCUUUCUUUCCUGUUUUCCACUCUCAUGCAUUCCUUAGGUGUACAUGAAUAUUCGUCCAUGCAUUCGUGUUACGACUUCCUUGGGGUACUGUUCUUUUCAGUGUCUCCGACAUCAUUGAAUGUAUUGCUUUUAUUUAAAAUGUGAACAGGCCAGAGGCUCACUGCAGAGGGGAGCCAUCCUUGCACUGCCCACAGAAUCCUCUUCUCUACCUUGUUCUGGAGUGGGGCAUGUGGAGCCCUGAGGAGACGGGAAUCAAGGGUGUCUGUGGGAACCAGCCAGACCCCGUGCCAUGCCCCCUCUUUGGGAAGGGGUUGCUCAGGCAUGAAUCCCCCACCCCUAACAUUAUUAGCGGUUUCUUCUUUUCAGCUUGAACCCUGAGUAGUGGCCUUGAAAGUCCAAGAACACCUGUCACCCUGCUUAGGUGAGGGCGACACAGAGGGACGGGGACAGACGGGAAGGGGACACACGCUCCUGGCCACGGGCCUCUCUCCAAGACAGGUGAACUCUGUGUUCCAAAAGGAACUCAUUUAAUCUUUUGGCCCCAAUGGAAGUUGUUUGUAUUUUCUCUCCCUCUCUCUUCUCCCUCCUCUCUCUCUCCCUCAACACCCCCGCCUCCACCCUCCAGCCUCCAAAAGAAUUUAAUCUGCUGGACAACAAACAAUACUGUUAUAAAACUUUGAAAACAAGAGGGUGAGGCCUCCCUGACAAGGAGAAGGGCAUGCUGGGUAACGGCCGAGGGAGCCUGCCAGGCCCGGGACGGAGCCGGGCGAGGGCCCAGUUGGCCGGGUACCUGGGCGCCUGCCCCCGCCCAGCCCACCAGCCCAGCCAUCCCCAGUCCAGAGGGGAAGGAACCGAAACAAAAGCAGGGGCAGAGAAGCGCCUGGAAAGGGGAAGUUGUACGUGUUCCCCUCUCUCUGAUCUGAUGCGAGUGCGCCAGACUGUGAAACUUCCUCCCCCACCCCUCCCCCCCGCCAGCCUCCCUCCCUCCUCGUCCUGCCUCCUCCUGCCUCCUCCCACCACUCUCUGUUCCAGGCCCGAGGCCCGAUAACAGAACAGGGCUGGCCUAGGUACAGCCACCGGCCGGCCGGCCGCAGGGGAAGCAGGCAAGGAAGGUGUUCCAAGUUGGCUUUGGACUCUGGACGUACCCUCUGCGUCCCCUUCCUGCCCCCAGCGAGAGAUGUGGAGCCACGGUACGAGGUGUGCCCCAGUCCACGUGCCCCGCCGGCACACGGUACCGUGUGCCCAGGUACCGGGAGAACCUCCGCUCGGAGGUUAGUGGGUCUGUCCCACUACCCGGUGUCUGCUGGAGGCCAUGCUCCCAGGAGGCUGUCAGACUCGUACAGGUGGCCUGCUCUCCCUCCAGAGGGAGCCGGGCUGAGCUGUGGAGCCCUGGAGCCUCCAGAGGGGCUCAGGGGACAGAGACUUGCUCCCCGCAGCAAGCAGGCACAGGGUCCUGGCAGCGGAGUGCCUGGUGGGGUACCGUGUCUGCUGCCCGGGGUGACCCAGCUCCGCCUGGGGAGCAGGGAAGCUGGGCGCUGGGGCAUCGCCCCCCAGCCUUCUGAGUGAGAUUUCACCUGAGACCGAAGUUUCGCUGCCACGCCCACCUGCACUGCGUGGAGCACAUGAUUCGGGGCGGGAGAGUGAGAAGCAGCGGUGGUCUGCCUUUGGCCCGAGGUUGUUUGGACCCGUGAACCGUGUGGUGGGCAUUGUGUUUGUGUAAUGGACUGUAGGCGUGCUCGCUUUCCUCUCGUGGGAAGCAGUUCAGGGCAGUGCCCGUCCUCCUGCUCUGCCUGAGCGAAGCCUCUCUCUGGGGAAGCGUGGGGGGCCCCCCCCUCUUCAUUCCAUCGCUCCUCCUUCUCUGCGCUCCCCACUGUCCCCUGCUGCCCCCCACGCCCCACGGCACCCCAAGGCAUCCCAUCCUCCCAGCCAGCCGACCAGCCAUCCCGAGCCUGGGCCUGUACUGAAUCUGGAGGAUUUCCAGAUGCGGGUCUUCUCUGGUGUUGAGGCAGGGACAGAGAACCGAACCGGGUGGAAAGCAGCUGCCUGGGAACUCAGGCCGCGGUGCCCCGGCCCCAGGGAAAACCGGAAUUGCUGAUGUGGGGCCCAUGUGAUGUGAGCAGGCUGUGACCUCCUGCCCUGUUACCUCCACAGGCAUUUGAGGGGCUCAAUGGGUCUAGAGCGUGUUAUUCCCACUUCGGGAUGCCGGGUCUGGGACGUGUAGGGAUCCCUGGAUGCCCCGCCCUCCUUUUGGGGGCCAAGCUGCCAGGAAAAGAGCCAGCUCCAUGUUUCCUGCCUCCCUCACCCUCCAUUCCCUCCUCCCUCGCCCCCCGUGCCCAUACCCGUACACAUUUUAUCACCCUUUCCUCUGAUUCAUUAACCACAGCUAGUUGGCAACAGGCCCCCACCCUGACAGCUCAAGACAAAAUGUCCAGGACGCUGGGUCUGGCCUGGAGCUGAGUGACAGGAAGCUGGGCCGGGCUCUCGGCUCACGCAUACGAUGGGCAAGGACCGUGUGGAGUGCAGAACCUUCCUCAUUUUCAAAAGGGUCUUCCCCAGGCCCCUCUCUCUCACCAAGAUGACUCUUCUUCGCUGCCAGGAGCCUGGAAACCAGCAUCCCGGGUAGCAGGAAGACCUGAUCUGGGCUCUGCUUCCGGCACCCCUCCCCCGCGCCGGCUGGAGCUUGCGUCAGUCAUGUAAGUAGCCGUGACUCAGCACCCAGCCUGGUCGGGAGGGAGGCAGAAGACGCCUCCCAGGAACCUUCCCAGCAUUCUGGAUUUGAACACAUGGUGGUAGCUGAACACACUGAACGAGCUGGCGGCCUUCGGUUCCUGGGGGUGCGUGUCUGUCCGUUCCGCGGGUUUGCUUAUAGGUCUCAUAAACCGGGGUUCCUCUCCUUCCCAUUUUCAUCCCGUGUUAUUUUUUGGACACCAUGCCUGGCAUAGGAUUUUUAGGACUUUAAAAGGCACAGACGGCAUCAUUUCUAGAACGCAGCAGAAGCUCUCUUUGCAGUCUCCAGACUGCCCUUUAAACCGAUGGCCCAUGAAUCAUACUUAACCCUCAGAUGUUUUGUUUGACUUACAGAGUUUUCGUUGUUUUUGUUUGUUUGUUUGCUUAACGUGUCCGAUUCAGACAUGCCUUUAGACAAAACACAGCCUCUCCAGGUCACUGGACUUCUGCUGCACGAGGUCUCUGCCUCUCUGUCCUGUUUCCCACCCCAGCCCUCAAGCAUUUGAGUGCACGGAGACUGGUCUGCAUGAGCCCUCCCUCGUUUUGGAAAAACUGGGGCCCAUUCCAGGGAGGUGCAGGUCCCCCGUUCUCAAGUCUGGGCCGCGCAGGAAUUAAAGCCCCUGUGUUCUGAUUCACUGUGUGGUGACCUUUCCUCCACCCUCGGUCGCUGCCCGAGCGGAGGAGUGUCUAGGCAUGAGGGGGUGGAAAACCCUCCAAAUAGAACGUCUGCACAGAAAUGGACGGAGGCUGCACUGUGCUUCCCAAACCUUCUCCCUGCGUGGUGGCGUACCCAGCCCUCUGGCUGGGCGGUUUCCCUUCCCCGACAGCGCACCAGACUCUUCCCACUGGCCCGUGUGCGUGGGACUGUUGGGCCAGGCUGGGACGAUCACACCGUCCGCCUUUGACAGCAAAGCCCUAGCAGGCUGGGGCCUCCAGCCCCCGUUAGACCACCUGGCCCCGUCCAACAAGGGAACAGAAACACCAGCUAGCUUCAGCGGCACAUGCUGUUAUUUCCGGGAGCCACAAUACAUACAGGCCUGGAUCUGGAAGCCUUCAGAGCUGGUGGACAGCCCGAAAGAUCCGGAUUCUACUCUGUCUCCUCUUUCCUUAGUUGUGGCAUCCCAGGAGAUACAGACCUGUUUUCUCAGCUUCCGAUGACCAAAACAAAAGCAAACAAACAAACAAACAAAAAACCCGACACAUUUAGGAGAUGGGAAAUCUAAUUUGAACACAGGAUGCAAAUCUUAUUUUCAGACACAUUUUUGAAAACAACACAAAACUCGGUCCUUGUGUUAGAGGAUUAUCUACUUACCACCACUUCAGGGCACGACAUUUGUGUGCGUGUGUCACAGCAGAGGUUAAACAAAGAUUGCUAGUGUUCUGACCCUUACUUGAGGCUGGGAAGGUGGACCCCAGGCUCUUCCUGAAUAGGGCGCAUCAGGAGUUGCCCCCGAGCAGGUGAAACUCACCUGGCUCGAACCUCCUGGGCAGAUAGGAUGCUUGUUUCCUGAUGACGUGACAUAGUAUCAGAAGACACUGCGUGCUGUGAAAUGUUUUCGAGAGCAGGGGGCGAUGCUAAUGAAAACGUUAACGCAUUUUCAUAAUAGCUCUGGGAUACUUCCCUUCAUCACAUGUGUAAUAAACUGUUAGGACUGGUUGUCCGGGAUCAACUAGACUUCAUGAGUUUUGUAUUGCUCCCGUCUGUGUGACGCGUCAGCCGCGACUUUCACAUUCCUUGAGCAUCCCUGGCUAGGUCCGCUCUGUGCCUCUCUCAUGGACUGCGAUGUCCCAUCCCAAGUGGAACUGCAAGAAGACAGGGCAGCACCUGGGUCUUCCGGUUGUGUCUUCCUUCUUUCUUCAAUGAGAUCCUCUUCUUCUGGAAGCUGGUUUCACAUGGUGGCUUAGAUUUUUCCAUCUUUGUAUCUAGCACCAUUUGAAAUCAGUGUUUUAGGAGUAAGAAUUGCGGCGCAGCAAAGGGCCACCUGCAGAGGAGCUCUCGCUGGUGGGACGGACCCCCUCCUUCUGCCGCCUGAGCCGGUCCAAGAGAGGAAGAACUUGAAAAGGAAAAGUGCACCGCAGCGUAUGUCCGUUGCGGGUUGUGGAGGGGCGGCCGUGCGGGGGCGGGGGGGGGGGGUGUUUGUGUUUCAAAGAAACUCCGAGCUGGAGCAGGGGCCGAGGUGAUGCCUGGUUGUAGCACCUGGGAGCACCACCGGGCGCUCACCUGUCCGUAGGGCCUCUGACCGCGGGGACCAGGCGAUGCCGGCUCCUCCGGUACUCGAUUGUAGCGGGGGAGGGGCGAGGCUGUGUGCCUGGAGGACGGUUCCAUCCCCGUCGGCGUUGCACCCGCUGCUAGAGGCCCCGGAACACCCAGCUGCACUUGCAGUGCGGCUGGAAUCAGACUUGCCACCUGCACGGUCAAGUGCCGGACCCCGGGGAGCACCACUGGACCCAUCUCUUACACAGGCUGACCGAUUUCUCCUGGUGUUCAGAGUCUGUUUUUGUCUAGCACCAUUUGAAAUCGGUUAUGAUGUAGGGGGAAAAGCAGCAGCCUCGAAACCUCACGCCAAGUCUGGUGAGCAACAGCCUCUGUUCUCCUGGAAGACGUGGUCUCCCGGAAGACGGAUGGGCAGAAGGUGGGGAAGGACGAUCACGCUUUUUUCACUAACUUCUUUCACUGCAUUAAUGAUACAUUGUUGCAGAGGUAAGAGAGAAUUGAAUGCGGUUUUAAAAACAAAUCGCUGUAACCUAUCUGAUGUCCUCAGUCGCAGUUUGCUAAAAUGUGGCAAUGCUGUGUAUUCUGUAAAUGGCUGCUGUUGAAUUCUCUUUCUGUUAAGAGUCUAUUCAUGCAUCUUGACCUGAAUAAAUAUUUUACUCUCUUCAAUCAAUCAUGCCUUUGUUUUUCAUCUGAUCAUUUUCUGUUCGUAAUGCCAUGAGAAGUGGGGUCCUGCAAAUGUUAACUUGCUAUGCAGACUUACCUACUUCCUAAAGAACUGGAGGAGGUUACGGCAGACACACGUUAAAAACGAAGCCCGUUAAGAUAAGAAUGAGGUCCUGUGAGCCAAGAAAUAAAAUGAGAGAAAAGAUCACGGAAAAGAGAAAUGUUCAAGCCUGGGCUGAGGGAUGCUCCUUUUUGAAGGGGAAACUGAGGCUGGUUCCGAAGGGGCUGCAUGCAGCCCUGUGGCCCCUCUGCGGUCGGUGUUCCUUCCGGAAGCUUUUGCACAACCGAACAUACUGCCACAUGGCUGGUAAAGGGGAGCAGCCUGAUGGUUUCAGUUGCUUUAUAAAAGACGCAGGAGGGGGUUCCUGGGUGGCUCCGUUGGUUAACCAUCCGAUUGUUGAUUUCAGGUCAGGUCAUGAUCUCACGAUUUGGGAGUUCGAGCCCCAAGUCAGACUGUGUGCUGACAGUGCAGAGCCUGCUUGAGCUUCUCCCCUGCCCCUCUCCCUCUCCCUCUCCCUCUCCCUC